rnacentral:rRNA from 1 species
UGGGGAAUUUUGCACAAUGGGGGAAACCCUGAUGCAGCGACGCCGCGUGAUUUAGAAGGCCUUCGGGUUGUAAAAAUCUUUUGUAUGGGAAGAAAAUGACAGUACCAUAAGAAUAAGGACCGGCUAAUUACGUGCCAGCAGCCGCGGUAAUACGUAAGGUCCGAGCGUUGUCCGGAAUCAUUGGGCGUAAAGGGUACGUAGGCGGAUAAGCAAGAUAGAAGUGAAAUCCUAUAGCUCAACUAUAGUAAGCUUUUAAAACUGCUCAUCUUGAGGUAUGGAAGGGAAAGUUGGAUUCCUAGUGUAGCGGUGAAAUGCGCAGAUAUUAGGAGGAAUACCGGUGGCGAAGGCGACUUUCUGGCCAUAUACUGACGCUGAGGUACGAAAGCGUGGGUAGCAAACAGG